CCAUCCCGGCUUCGACGCUGGAGCCGGCUAAUUACCGGGCUUUCCUGAGGUUGCCUACUGAUGUGAAACCACACAGAGGUGCGAUGUCCGUGUUGUCUCCCUCAUCUUCUCUAGCCUGCAAGCAUGUAAAUGACUGCUGAUACUGGAGAGCCUGAUUACUCACCUCCCUAUUCCCCUAUCGAAGACCAGUCGCUGACCUGAAACAAAGUCCUGCCUGUGUCGUGCUGAGAAAUCCGGCAAUCUGACUAAGAGGCUCGUGGUAAGGCGGCUGUGUAUCAGCUACUUCAUUAUUCAUAAGCCUGCUUGUCACA
rnacentral:lncRNA from 1 species